GUAAUGGCUCACCAAGGCUUCGACGGGUAGCCGGCCUGAGAGGUGACCGGCCACACUGGGACUGAGACACGGCCCAGACUCCUACGGGAGGCAGCAGUGGGGAAUAUUGGACAAUGGGCGAAAGCCUGAUCCAGCAACGCCGCGUGAGGGAUGACUGCCUUCGGGUUGUAAACCUCUUUCAGCGGGGACGGAGCGAAAGUGACGGUACCCGCAGAAGAAGCACCGGCUAACUACGUGCCAGCAGCCGCGGUAAGACGUAGGGGACGAGCGUUGUCCGGAUUUAUUGGGCGUAAAGCGCGCGCAGGCGGCCCGCUAAGUCGGAUGUGAAAUCCCGCGGCUCAACCGCGGAACUGCACUCGAUACUGGUGGGCUUGAGGCAGGUAGGGGAGAUCGGAAUUCCUGGUGUAGCGGUGAAAUGCGCAGAUAUCAGGAGGAACACCGGUGGCGAAGGCGGAUCUCUGGGCCUGUCCUGACGCUGAGGCGCGAAAGCUAGGGGAGCGAACAGGAUUAGAUACCCUGGUAGUCCUGGCCGUAAACGUUGGGUGCUAGGUGU
rnacentral:rRNA from 1 species